rnacentral:rRNA from 1 species
UGGGGAAUAUUGCACAAUGGGCGAAAGCCUGAUGCAGCGACGCCGCGUGAGGGAUGACGGCCUUCGGGUUGUAAACCUCUUUCAGUAGGGACGAAGCGCAAGUGACGGUACCUGCAGAAGAAGCACCGGCUAACUACGUGCCAGCAGCCGCGGUAAUACGUAGGGUGCGAGCGUUGUCCGGAAUUACUGGGCGUAAAGAGCUCGUAGGCGGUUUGUCACGUCGUCUGAGAAAUCCUAGGGCUUAACCCUGGACGUGCAGGCGAUACGGGCUGACUUGAGUACUACAGGGGAGACUGGAAUUUCUGGUGUAGCGGUGGAAUGCACAGAUAUCAGGAAGAACACCGAUGGCGAAGGCAGGUCUCUGGGUAGUAACUGACGCUGAGGAGCGAAAGCAUGGGUAGCGAACAGG